UACGUAGGGUGCAAGCGUUGUCCGGAAUUAUUGGGCGUAAAGAGCUCGUAGGUGGCCUGUCGCGUCGGCUGUGAAAACUCGGGGCUCAACUCCGAGCUUGCAGUCGAUACGGGCAGGCUAGAGUUCGGCAGGGGAGACUGGAAUUCCUGGUGUAGCGGUGAAAUGCGCAGAUAUCAGGAGGAACACCGGUGGCGGAGGCGGGUCUCUGGGCCGAUACGGACACUGAGGAGCGAAAGCGUGGGGAGCGAACAGG
rnacentral:rRNA from 1 species